GAUGAGACCAGAGUGCUAGCUCGAGUGCUUCCUAGCGUUUUUAACGUCGGACUUUGGAACGACUUGCUAGUGUGGAUAAGCUUCCGCUUCUGCUUUUUAAUUCAGCGUUUCCCCUUGUAAACACAUGUGCACUUCUGAAAACAUGGAAGCAAUGAAGCUGGUCAAUAUUUUUUUGCUGUGGUCUGAGCUGGAGGAGGACACCGAACGACUCCAUCAGCGGAGGGUUGAACGGAGGAGACGACGGCUCUAUUCUGGGUCUCUGCCAUCAGAAUGUCGAGGCCAGGCAUUACUGCCAAAUCAAUACCACCGUGCCGGUGCUGCAGCGCUUCUUCCAGGGAGAGGACACCCGCCCUGCUUCAGGCUUAGCCGGCAGGCUAUCCAGGUCCUCCUUGGGGUCCUCCAAACGGAGCGACAGCACGGUUGGGGGCCCACCAUGGAGACCCUGGUCUUUUUGUUUUGGAUUGCUACUGGCGCAGCCUAUCGGGUUGUGUCCAGAGCUUUUGGCAUUCCAAUGUCAUCUGUCCAUAGAAUGGUGCACAGCAUUGCGGAGGUGGUAGCUGUGCGGGCAGUUUCAUCAAGCUGCCAUCAAAUGAUGAGGAGGUCAAGGCCAUGGGGGAAGGCUUUGCCCUGCUGGCAGGGCACCCUGCUUUCGCUAAAGCAGCUGGGGCCAUCGACGGGUUCCACAUCAAAAUUAAAUGUCCUGGCGGCCCUGAUGUUACUACGUGAACAGGAAGCUGUAUCCAUCCAUGGUGCUGCAGGCAGUCUGUGACCAUCAGGGUUGCUUCAUUGACACCUUUGUGGGCUUCCCAGGAAGCGUGCAUGAUGCACGCAUCCUGCGAAAUAGUUUGAUUUACCUGGCUGGCAAUUACCCUCCACCAGGCCAUUUCAUCUUGGGUGAUGGUGGCUAUCCAUACCUUACAGCCGAUAGCCCUUAUCACACCAUAUAAGCGGCCACUCUGAGGCAUGGCAGAGCAACGGUUUAACACUUAUCACUCUCGGGCCCGCUCAAUUGUUGAGCGGGCCUUUGGGAUGAUGAAAACCAGCUUCAGGUGCAUCUUUUUAGAGGCACUUGCAGUGCAUAGUGAGUUUGUGCCAAAAGUAUGUCAUUUCAUAAUUAUCCAUAUUUGUCUGUUUAACUUUCUUAUUGUACAUUAUAAUUGUAAAAAAACUUUUAUGGAUUAACCUUAUUAGUACACCUUCAUUUACAUCAACGUUCCUGUUUGUCUCUUUAAACCUUUUCCUUGUGCAGGUGGUGACUGCGUGUGCAGUACUGCACAACAUUUGUGUUGGUGUGGGCGAUGACCUCCCAGUGGAGGAUGGGGCCAUGGAGGGAGAUGACCCCUCCUCCUGAAGGAGAAUGUGGCACCGAGUCACAGAUUGGAGCUCCUUGGCGUGCGGCCCUGGCCAAUGCCAUUACCCCUCUUGAAGUGGCUCCACAGGACCACAACUACUUUGUUCUGCCUGUGACCGGACCAAGACAUACAUUUUAACAUAACAUUUUUUGGGGUAUUUUUUAAUCACUUGUCCGUUAUGUGUUUUUCUUGUGGUUGAUCGAAUCCUCUUUAAAUAAAUCCAUUCCUUUUUUGUAAAACUAAGUGAAAUUGUCUGAGAACUUAAUUUAUGCAUCACAUUUUUACAGUAUGGUUGAUUAUUAAUUAUGCAGGGGAAAAAGGAC
ensembl:lncRNA